rnacentral:rRNA from 1 species
UACGGAGGGUGCGAGCGUUGUCCGGAAUCACUGGGCGUAAAGGGCGCGUAGGCGGCGCGGAAAGUCGUCGGUGAAAGCUCGGGGCUCAACCCUGAGUCUGCCGGUGAUACUCCCGCGCUCGAGCUCACUAGAGGCAGAUGGAAUUCCGGGUGUAGCGGUGGAAUGCGUAGAGAUCCGGAAGAACACCGGUGGCGAAGGCGGCUAUCUGGACCGACAUUGACGCUGAGGCGCGAAAGCGUGGGGAGCAAACAGG